rnacentral:rRNA from 1 species
AUGCCGACGCAGACGUCCAUGGAUGCCGCCAGGACGGUCGUCGUGACCGCCUACGAGGAGCUGCCGCGCCGCCGUUCCGGCAGCUACAGCGCGUCCUGGUCGACCGCUCGAGCCGGGGCGCGCGCGGCCGCAGGCGGCUCCAACCGCCGGGCGAUGCUGCUCGCGUACGCGCAGCACCUGCGGCGGCGCGGCGGGCAGAGGUCGUCGUCGUCGUUGUCCUUGGGGCCGCCGCGCGUGCUGGAGUGGGGCGAAUGGAAGCGGGCGGACGAUCGCGGCGCCGGCGCCCGCGACGACGACAAGGUGAGCGCGGCGGAUCGGCAAGACAUUUCUUAUUUCGUUGGAUCAUGCAUGCACGACGUGCAUCUAAGAUCUAACGCGUGCUGGUGUCUUCGAUCGGUCAGCAGGUGGUGGCGGGGCGGAGGAGGGGUUGCUGCUCCAGGCUCCGGCUGCGGGCGCGGCUUUGGAUCAGGACGUUUUUCCGUCGCGUCAGGAGGAUCAGGGAGAACGCGUCGUGCAAGAAAGCAGAUUGAACGGGUUGCCCAUGCACGACAGUUCGACGAUACGAGGAGGAUGAGUUGGUUCUUGCUCACAAAUUGCUAUGGUACUUCUGUCUCUCUUGAAAGAGGCGUACGAUGGGAUCUGGAAGACUCUCGGGUUAAGACCUUCCCGAUUAAGAAGGUUAGGGACGUCUCAUCUCCGGUGCUCCGCCGGCAAGGCCAGUGGAUCUCCAUUGUCUCUGGUGGCUGCGGAGUGACGACGGGGACCAUUGAUCUUGGUGUUGGAUGCAAGGUUGGUUUUGGUAGUUGCUAA